CCUACGGGUGGCAGCAGUGGGGAAUAUUGCACAAUGGGGGAAACCCUGAUGCUGCGACGCCGCGUGAGUGAAGAAGGAUUUCGGUAUGUAAAGCUCUAUCAGCAGGGAAGAAAAUGACGGUACUAGAUUAAGAAGCCCCGGCUAACUACGUGCCAGCAGCCGCGGGAAUACGGAGGGGGCAAGCGUUAUCCGGAUUUACUGGGUGUAAAGGGAGCGUAGGCGGCAGCACAAGUCUGGAGUGAAAUGCCGGGGCUUAACCCCCGAACUGCUUUUGAAACUGUGCAGCUAGAGUACAGGAGAGGUAAGUGGAAUUCCUAGUGUAGCGGUGAAAUGCGUAGAUAUUAGGAGGAACACCAGUGGCGAAGGCGGCUUACUGGACAUUAACUGACGUUGAGGCUCGAAAGCGUGGGGAGCAAACAGGAUUAGAUACCCGUGUAGUC
rnacentral:rRNA from 1 species